AGUCGAGCGGUAGCACAGAGAGCUUGCUCUUGGGUGACGAGCGGCGGACGGGUGAGUAACGCGUAGAAAUCUACCCGGUAGUUGGGGAUAGCCCGGAGAAAUCCGGAUUAAUACCGAAUAAUCUCUGAGGAGGAAAGUGGGGGACCUUUCGGGGCCUCACGCUAUUGGAUGAGUCUGCGUCGGAUUAGCUAGUUGGUGGGGUAAAGGCCUACCAAGGCGACGAUCCGUAGCUGGUCUGAGAGGAUGAUCAGCCACACUGGGACUGAGACACGGCCCAGACUCCUACGGGAGGCAGCAGUGGGGAAUAUUGGACAAUGGGGGCAACCCUGAUCCAGCCAUGCCGCGUGUGUGAAGAAGGCUUUCGGGUUGUAAAGCACUUUCAGUGGUGAGGAAGGGUGUGUUGUUAAUAGCGACAUACAUUGACGUUAGCCACAGAAGAAGCACCGGCUAACUCCGUGCCAGCAGCCGCGGUAAUACGGAGGGUGCGAGCGUUAAUCGGAAUUACUGGGCGUAAAGCGCGCGUAGGCGGUGUGUUAAGUGAGAUGUGAAAUCCCCGGGCUCAACCUGGGAAUUGCCUCUUAUACUGGCACGCUAGAGUAUGGCAGAGGUGAGUAGAAUUCCCGGUGUAGCGGUGAAAUGCGUAGAGAU
rnacentral:rRNA from 1 species